rnacentral:rRNA from 1 species
ACGAACGCUGGCGGCGUGCUUAACACCUGCAAGUCGAACGGAAAGGCCCUGCUUUUGUGGGGUGCUCGAGUGGCGAACGGGUGGGUAACACGUGAGUAACCUGCCCUUGACUUUGGGAUAACUUCAGGAAACUGGGGCUAAUACCGGAUAGGAGCUCCUGCUGCAUGGUGGGGGUUGGAAAGUUUCGGCGGUUGGGGAUGGACUCGCGGCUUAUCAGCUUGUUGGUGGGGUAGUGGCUUACCAAGGCUUUGACGGGUAGCCGGCCUGAGAGGGUGACCGGCCACAUUGGGACUGAGAUACGGCCCAGACUCCUACGGGAGGCAGCAGUGGGGAAUAUUGCACAAUGGGCGGAAGCCUGAUGCAGCAACGCCGCGUGCGGGAUGACGGCCUUCGGGUUGUAAACCGCUUUCGCCUGUGACGAAGCGUGAGUGACGGUAAUGGGUAAAGAAGCACCGGCUAACUACGUG